rnacentral:rRNA from 1 species
CAGUAGCCACGGUAAUACGUAGGGUGCAAGCGUUAAUCGGAAUUACUGGGCGUAAAGCGUGCGCAGGCGGUUUGUUAAGACAGAUGUGAAAUCCCCGGGCUCAACCUGGGAACUGCAUUUGUGACUGGCGAGCUAGAGUAUGGCAGAGGGGGGUAGAAUUCCACGUGUAGCAGUGAAAUGCGUAGAGAUGUGGAGGAAUACCGAUGGCGAAGGCAGCCCCCUGGGCCAAUACUGACGCCCAUGCACGAAAGCGUGGGGAGCGAACAGGAUUAGAUACCCCAGUAGUCCCUGUCUCUUAUAC